CGAACACACGUAGACAGCCAUCGUGUCUGUCAACGCACGCGCAGCCUUCCCUUCUUGUGUGUGAUCGUUCUCUCUGUACUCCAUUGCUCUGUGGGUGCGUGUGUGCGCGUCUUCUCCGCACACACACGCAACGCACACAGCAUUCCCCUCACCUCCACUACGGUCUUCCACGCCUUCAUAUACGUUGUGCACAUAAUGUUUCCAUCGGGCUUCCCGUCCUCCGCUGCCGGCAGCGGCAAUAAUACUGCGGGCGCGACAGCCCCACACAUGCACGUGCAUACGGUCGUCAUCAACGUCGGCGACACAGACGGCACUGCGGUAGGUGGCAAUGCAGGCGUGGCGGAUGUCUUCUCUGGUGUUCCAGCGACGGUGUCCGCCGUCAUGACCGCCGCGAUGGAUCUCUCUGAUUUGCCAGGAUUGAUAGACCUGCUCAGUGACACCACCCCUGCCAGCACCGCUGCACGCGAGUGGCACGCCGAAAGUUGUCCCCCCUUUUCGCCAGAGGAGGUAAUUUCUACCUUUGACGUCGUGCAGCCGCCUCUAUCCUCUCCAGUAACUGCAACCGCCUCCACUAGCCGUCGUGAGACUGACGGCGCGGAUACUGCUGCGAGCCCAUCCCCGCCUGCGCCAGAGGCGAAGGAGUGCGCCAUCUGCCUGGAGCCACUGUUUCGGACGUCAGUGGUGCGCUCUGCACCCGAAAGCGGCGAAAGCAUGCCGAACUCAGCCCCGCCGCUUUCCGAGUUGUCCACCGCUGACCGCGAAAAGCCGGCGACGGCAUCCCAGUCGCCGUCAUUACAAUCCCAAGCACCUUCCUCGCCGCCUUCUGUGCCUCCCCCAGACGCUGCAGCAUCUUCCGAUGCAACCCGGCCACUGGCACACGACGACACGGCCGAGGCAGCGAAGGACGCGAAAACAGUGCGAGAGGUGUACUGCGGCCAUCGCUUUCACGAGUCGUGCAUUCUCCGCUGGAUCACUCUGGGACACUAUUCAUGCCCGCUGUGUCGAUCUCCCUUCGUGUUUGAGUGAAGACGCGCGCGCGCGUGCGAGCCUGUGUCCGCGUGUGCUGGAUUAGACGGUUUGCAGUGCAUCGACGCAGACAUGCGCGUGCACGCUCGCCACGCGUCCCACGACGACGACAACAGGGGAGGCUUACAAAUUCCCAGGCUGCGCCAACCAAGCAGUGAUACACAAGAAAGCGGGGGCCUUUGCGAAGCGGUGCAGGCGACGCGCAAGCCUGUGGACAGUGAAGUCCACCACAUCCAUCGCUACAAUGACGACGACGAUGAGAGAAACAGAGACGAUGCGUGUGGUAGGGGGUUGGUGAUGAAGGUGUUGGCCGUGAAUAUCGCUGGUGGUGAGGGUCUUUGCCCUCCGUCUCCCUCUAACCCACCUAAAAGGCCACAGGACUGUGCUGCGCCGUCUUUUCGGCUCCCCUGCCCUCCAAAAGGAGGACGGCACGGUCAAAGGCCGCACAUAUGGCGAGAGAAGCCGCCCAUAUCAGCACCGCGUUUUCGCCGCGAGGUCCGCAUCCGCAGGGUUUCUUUGGACGCGAGCACACGCAUCCGUAGCGGCUUCUUGCCUUGACGGGCGCUUCCAUGAUGGGCAUCCUCAGUUUGGAUGUCGGUGCUCGUGGCUUCCCACGCCAGCGCUGUCUUCUGCUAUCCUCGUCAUCUCGCUUUCUUCUUUCUCUCCUCUGCGUUUUCGGUUCUUCGUCGCUUUCCACCUUCUUGGGCAUGCGUGUGACACACCCGCGCACACUCGCAUGCGCUCACGUGUGUUUUGCCCACGUGCCAUGAUGUCUGUGUUGUCAG
rnacentral:misc_RNA from 1 species